AAGAGAAGUAGAUGCAUUAAGAUCGUUCCAUUUAGAAAACAGAUAAUUCCCUCCAUGACAUGCUAAAGGAACAGCUAAUCUCAUCCCAACUUUGUGUAGGAACCCAGCCUGUGUACUGAACAAGAGCAUCUGAAGAAAGAAUUCAUAUACAUAGACUUCCAUUUUGCAGACGUCGACAUAAAAAUGAGGAUGAAAAAGCAAA